CGGACAGCCGGACGCGGGUAGCUUGGCCGUUCCUUGCUCUGCGCAUCGCUUGAAAACCGGCGGUCAUCCUGCAGUGUACGCUGCCAGCGUGCUUUCUUGCCAGAGCCGCCUCCCCUGCUGGUGAUGACCAUAUGCAGCCAAUGCUGAUGUGAACCCGAGUGAUGAACAAAUGCAGCAUGCCUGGAAAAGUACUUCAAAGCACACCCCAUCUGGCUGACUGCACUACCUCAAGAAAACUGCCUUUCUCCCAUCUGCAAGUUCCUAAGAAGUUACUUUAUGAAGCAAGCCAGCAGGGCGUACGUGUGAGGCAUGGCAGCACGGAGAACAAAUAAACAUGAGUAUUUGGUGCAAGAUGCAUUCAUUGAUUUCGUGCUGCAUCAACGUGUGGCUGCAUGCUUGGCCACGUGUAGACACAGCAUGUAAACUCGUUAACCUCAAUGGUAAAAGGUGGUCUAUAAUCACGUUAAGAAGCACGAUGUCUUAUUUUUGUAAAUAAUUGCAUAGCUCGACUUUGACUCAGGCGUCCAACACCCAUCAUUAUCUACCCAUUAU